CCCUAUUAUUUUAGAAUGUUAAUUUUUGUGCCUGAGUAGUAUUAGUUAUGUUCUUGAAACUUAAAGAAUUUGGCGGUAUCUCAUUCCGUCCAGAGGAAUCUGUCCCGUUAUCGAUAGUCCACGUUGGACCUUACUUAUUUGUUUUGGUUUGUAUACCGCCGUUUAUUGAUUAUCUUUUUAGAGUUUGUGAUAAUUUUCUGGUUUCUUUAUUUUGGUGUAUUUCAGGUCAAGGUGCAGCUUGUUUUUAAGUGGAAUGAUGGAUUACAUUGUUAUUUGUUUAUGGAUUGCUGAUUUAAAUAUUGGUAUGAAAUUGGAUUUGGUUGUAAUAAUUUGUAGAUUGUUAUUAUGAUAAUUGGUUCUGGGAUAUGCACACAUCGCCCGUCGCUCUCGUUUUGUUAUAAUGAGAUAAGUC
rnacentral:rRNA from 1 species